UGUUGCAAGAUUAAAAGCGCUCGAAGAUUAUGAUUCGAUCAAACAGAAUCUAGCGGGAUAUUGAGAUAUUCACACACACACACACACACAGAUUAGCAAAAUUGAAGGACCGCCGUGUAUUCUACACUCGUUUAUUUGGCACUCUGUAACGCACGUCACAUCUUUGCUCAUAGACCGAUCUCGCAAGGUGGCAGGCAUCCGCAGUAGAACAGCUCCUGCAGCAGUCUGAGUAUCAGCUUGUCGGGCCUUAAUUUUUCCGCACUCUCCGCGGUCUUGACGCGAUCCGAGCGGUACCGCAAACGGGGCACCGUAUACACGCGGCACCAUCGCAGGAAAUCGCCGGUGUCCUCCGUGCGGAUAAACGUCACGAUCGCCCAGAGCGUGCAGAGGUUCCGCGAUUUCUUUUUCGUGUGCAGGUAGAGUUGGCAGACAUCCAGAAACGUCAUGAGAUUGACGACGCUCUUUUCCAUGGAGAAGGACUUUCCGGAAUCGACGCGAGAACGUCUUCUGACGUUCGAGGUGAACUCGAUGACCGGAACACACCGGGCCGCAGCGCGUCAAAGAGAGGAGGGCUCGAAAGUCAAAAAUCGCGGUCGUCAAUCGAGCAGACGCCACCGCGAUCUUUUAAAUAGAUCCUUUGGCGAACGUCAUCGAGCGGAAAAUCCGCCUGGCGCGAGGGCUGCUCUCCACUCGCGCCGCCGCCACCCCCGCAUUGUGUGCUGUGGUAGACACCGACGGAGGCAGGUGGACCGACUUCAAAGAGCAGUGUACCCGCACCCCUCCGCUAGUCCGCAAUCCCCGUUCGUCGUCGUACUCUGCGUUUCUGUCGCACGUGCGCGCGCGGGACGAGCGAACAGGCCGGAUAUAUGUGUGCAUAUAGUCGUUCGCGGCCGAUACGCGGCUGCGCGGUGAAUUUAUUCGAUACCUCUUUUCGCAUAACUGGGUUAGUCUCCCGGUGCACUAGUUUAACUAAUUUAAGGAUGCCACCAGAUGCCUCGUGCCCGACGGCUAAUGUCAACCGUCAACUGGACGCAAACGGACGGACAGACGGACGUAAUAUCGAUGUACGCGCUGUUGCUUCCAAGGAUGCGACGGUGCAGUGGUGACGUGCACCUCGUGCAAUUAUUAUAAAUUUUCAAAAAAUUUCAAGGAGAACCUCCUUUCAAGACUGAACGGAAACUACAGAAGCAUGACUUUUCAAUCUUUGAGCUUUCAUACGUUUAUAUAUUAGAAUGUCUUUCCUUGGAUUUAUAGAUUUUUAAAACUUUUAAGCCUUGAAAUUGUUUGAUUAUACGCUUAAAAAUAACGCAUAGAAUGUACAUAUCUAUCGCAUUUCAAUCAAUUCGAACGACUGAAUUAUCGCAGUCUAUUAUGCGCCUGUAUCGUGCAUGAAGACGAAAGAGACUUGUCUAUACGUCAUUAAUAACAACGAUUUAUAAAUAGACGGUGAAAUGCAUACAGUGCUUGCAUCACGAAACGUCGCCCGUCUCUUCAAGGACUAAGGACCGGCUGCGUCAGCGUUAGAUUAACGGGACAUCUGUUUAACUCAAUUUUUUAUUAUUUAAAUAAAAAGGAGGAACAGGAUAUCAGAGUGACGAUACAAUUGUUUGUCACUUUUUUUUAAUUUAAACAUUUGCCUCGCUUAUCACUAUUUGUAGUACGCGAUUGAUCGAUUCGGUGCAAUUAACAUAUAUUUGAUAUCGCAAAUGCUUAAAUAUUUGAAGUUAAAAUUGCACGAGAUUUAUAUAAUGAAUAUUUAUUAUCGCUCGACACGCGACGUGUGCGUUUGCGACGUGACGAAACGGAGAACCACUGUGCCGCGGUUGGACUACGCACUACGUAACGAGCGAGUUGUAAGUGUAGUGGUCUCGACAGCGUGGGUGGUACGUAGAGCAACGGCAAUGUGCCAACCGUGAGAGAGGCAGCCAUGAAUGAAAAUGCCGCGUAUCGAUUUAUCUGCACCGCCCUACAUACGAAAUAUGAUAGAGAGUGCUCCGAGCGAUUUGCAGUGGCAUUUUUAAUCAUUUCGAUCCACACCUAUUCACAAAGCCUUUCUCGCUGCAGUUUUAACUGAUUCCGAUUAUGUGUUAAUUAAGCGAAUGAGGAAACUAAUUAUUAGCUCACAUGUAUCUGAUGUAUGAUAAUGUGAUACCUAUGAUGAAAUCAAGUCAAUUAUUCCAAUGAGAAUACAGUAGUGAAGAAAAAUAGGCUUUAUGAAUUAUAAUGUCGAAUAGAUAAUGGAUAAAAUUAUUCAUGAGAGCAAAACAGAUAAGGAAUAGAAUAUGUGAAAACACAAAAUUUAUAUAAUGCAUUUCUAAACAAUAUUCGGUUCAAAAUCCUAAAAAAAAUUUAGGAACUUGAUUACAUGUGUAGGAUCUAUUAAUUGAAGCUGUGAUCUUGAAUCUUUGAGCCUUUAAUAAUAUUAAAUAAUUUGAUAAAACUAAUCAUGAAUUGAAUUUUUUCAGGGAUUCGACUGGUGGACUUCGCCAAAAUGGAAGAUGUAAAAUUUCAGCAGCCGGAUAUAGAAUUUCGCGGUCACGUGUAAUCAACGCAAAUAACUGCGGAUUAUCGACUCGGGCUGUAACACAGCACCAAACGCGUCACCGCGUUCAAAACGAUUCGAUAUGGCGCCAUUAUUCAUUCAUGCGAGCUACCUCUACGUCAAUGACUAGGAUGGUUCACGCUGAUUUUGACGCUUGCCAACGUGCAGAUCGAAACGCUGGAAUAUCAAAGAGCUUGAGAAACUCUUGAUGCGGAAAGACCCGGAAAUUUGGAGGAAUCAAAUUGCAUCGUACGAUCAGAAGGCACCGCGCGGUUGAAGCGGUGUGAAACGCUCAGCGCACUUUAUUGACCACGGCGCUACCUUAUAUCAGUAUUGAUAACAGCGUAUCAAGCUUAUCAUAUAAAACUGGCCGCAUCUUCCGCAGUCCCUGAAUAAGCAAAAUCAAUUUCUCCGUGAGAGACGAUCGCCUACGCAAAUCUGUUCGGGCCGGCGACGACGACGGCCGCCAUGUCGCUAGUCGCGCGUCUCGCGGGGAAAACGAAGCGAUGAGGAUGUUGUACUUCCGUGUCGCGCUAUUUCGAAUGUCUUUUUAUUAUUAAAAAAAAAAAUCUUUUUUUCUUCCAAGGCUCACCUGGGUCAUGAGAGAAGCGAAAUCUUCCUGCUCAUGGCGAGACACGCCGUGGGGGCAAGAGGGUGCAGCAGCGCAGCGGCGACAGCGGCGGCGUCGGCGGCUGGUACUGGUGCUGGUAUUGCUCGCGUGGAAUCGACAUCGAGCAAAUAUUCGCGUCUCAUCGCGCCGACGAACGGGCUUCCUUCACAUUGUCUCGCGCUGCCGAAUCUCGCAUUUCUCUUUGUUUCAGUUGUCACUCGGGAUACUCGCGCGACGAAGGGGUGCGUCACGCGCACGAUGGAAGCGCGUUCCGCGAGGAAUCGAGCCGACCGACCGACCCUCCGACAAUGGCUGUAGCUCCGCUGGAGGGUUGAAAGGGAGCACGCGCGAGGCGACGCGACGCGGGCGUCGCCGUGACGCAUUAAUAGCGGCACAAGAGGGAGGAAUGGGCGGAAGACGGAGUGGGUGUAGAGAGAUAUGUUUCUCGUGCCAACUGCAGGAUAGGUAGCAGGAUGUGAAUAGCACCCAUCUAAUUUGACAUAAUCUACGUCCCAGGAUGCAAAUGUAGCAGCAUCUAUGUCCAAAU